CUCAAGAUGGGCAGUCUGGACAGCAAUCUGGAAAUCUUAUCAGAUAAGGAAAUGGAGAUUCAGAUGAGACAAGUAACCUGCUUAGGGUUAUGGAGCUGCUAAGUGGUAGAACCAUGUGGUCUUCUGUCUCCUCACCCUGUGAUUCCUCUCCAACCCAUCAUCUUACACAGUGGAUCAUGGCCAAUUGUCGUGCAUGUAAAAGGUGUUGUGCCUGCCUCAAUUCGCCUAACUGGGUGCUCCCACCAAGGCCUAGCAGAACAGAAACCAGAACCAGCAGCUCCCUCCCCCAUGAUCAGUGCCGUGCACUCUUACACGUGCUGUGAUGACUGGGAACCUCCCUUAGAGGCUAACACAAAAUGUGAAGUCAUCAAAAGGCACCUAAUGUGGCAGUGAUGACACCCAAGAACCACAUGGGGCUGUUGGUCAUCUCAGCAGAAGCCAGGCCACGUCAAGACUGAGGACAAAAACCCUUUCCUGCUAACCCAGAAAUUGGCAAACACUGGUGAAAAGGAAGUAGAGGAGAUCAUCUGGAGUCAUUUACAUUCUUUGUUAUAAAUAUCAUCAUUUUCAACAUAUGCUGUGAUAUGAAAGAUUUGGGGAGCAUUGACCUAACAGACAUUCAAUAACCACAAAAACUGACAUUUACUGAGCACCUACUAUCAACAAAGCACCUCAUCUAUUUUAAUUCAUUCAACUUCCACAGCAAUCCUAUUAGGUUGGUACCCAUAUUUUCAUUUUGCAGAUAAGGAAACCUAGAUGACCUGCCCAAGGUCACAGACAUGGGAAGUGGCAGCACCAGGAUGCAAUCUCAGGCAAUUUGGAAUCAGAAGUUACACUUAACCACUACACAUUGCCUCUAAAUAAAUGUUUGCUAGAUCUAAAUAAAAUUUUUAAUUUAACUAAA